GCUUCCCUGUGACUUCCAGGGUCAGUCUGCUGUGAUAAACUUGACCAGCGCGCGCAUUGAUCUAGGAUACGCUUUAUCUUGGAAGUUACAGAAACUUCCAAAGAGCAGCCAGGGGACCGAGGAGCCCCGAGCUGGGCUCUCCGUUGCGCCUGGUAUACACAGUGCUGCCUCCGCUUCUCGGAGUUUAUGAUGUUUAUGAAGAUCCCCAACAGCUGGCUUCAAACCCAGCCCCUCCGAGAACCGUUUCCAGGACUCUGAAGCCCGCAUUUCAGCUUCAGGAACGGCGAGACAGCUGGCUGUCCGUGUCGGUUUGGGUGGAAUCGGUGUAGAGGUGGUGGUACCCAAACCAGCUCAGUGCCGGUGAUUUCCAACCAGCAUCUUUUGAAGGCACACUGUGUGCAUCGCCAUCAAGCGCUGAGCAACAGCAAGCUGCGGAUGCUCGUCGGCGAGAGCUGGAGGAGGAUCAGCUCUAAGUUGUAAUCUCAGGGUGGACAUUGACAUCAUCCUCUUGGACAAUGCUUAGGGGUGCAACUGCUGGCCAUAUGGGUUUGACUUAUUCUUUCCCUAAGUCAAUCUUGGCCAGUGAUAUUGGGGCAGAGCAGAGAUAGCAGCAGUAGGAUUGUGUGAGCCGCCAGGCCUGAAGCCCGCAGCAUUUUACCUGUGCAACGCGAAAGGCUGAGCCUGGAUGGAGAAGAGAAGGAGGCGCCGCUCUGCGGAAUGCUCUCCGCGGCGCAUGCUCGGCGAGAUUUCGUGCCGGAGAACACAAACUACUCCGUUAAUUAAAUAGCAAAGGUCGAUGGAGCACCAUGGACAUUCUCUGAAGGCUGCUAGCCAGGAGAUUCAAGAAGAAAUUGUUAAAAAGGAGAACUAUCCAAACAUUGUCCUCUCCCUUUGCAGCCUCAACAGGAAAGAAAACUCAUAGAUGAGUCAGAAAUGCUCAGUGGAUAAUGGACCUCUUCCCUCACUCCACGUGCUCGGGUUGCGGCAACUUCAGGGGGCCGGCCUAUGUGUGGGCGAAUGAGGAGGAGAUUCUGUAUCCACGCAGGUUACUUCAGAGCACUGGGCAGAUCUCCCUAUGCUAUACCGCAGGUCUUUGCUACUCCUCUAUUCCGUAUAUGGUGGUAUGUGUAUGUUAAUUCCAGUCUCCUAAUUUAUCCCUCCUCCCAGUGUUUCCCCUUUGGUAACUGUAAGUUUGGUUUCAACAUCUUUGAGUCUGUUUCCAUUUUGUGAAUAAGUUCUUUUAUGUCAUUUUUAUUAGAUUCUGCAUAUGAACAAUCUCAUGUGAUAUUUGUCUUUUCUCUGUCUGACUUCACUUCGUAUGAUAAUUCCUAGGUCCAUCCAUGUUGCUGCAAAUGGCAUGUUUUCGUUCUUUUAUUACGGCUGACUAAUAUUCCAUUGUAUAUAUGUACCACAUCUUCUUUAUCCAUUCCUCUGUUGAUGCACAUUUAGGUUGUCCAUUUAGGUUCCAUGUCUUGGCUGUUGUAAAUAGUGCUGCAGUGAGCAUUGGAGUGCAUGAAUCUUUCCAAAUUAUGGUUUUUCUCUGGAUAUAUACUCAGGAGUGCGGUUGCUAGAUCAUAUGGUAGUUCUAUAUUUAGUUUUUUUAAGGAACCUCCAUACUGUUCUCCACAGUGGCCCACAACUUUACAUUCCCACCCAUAGUAUAGGAGGGUUCCCUUUUCUCCCCAUCCUCUCCAGCAUUUAUUGUUUGUAGACUUUUCGAUGGCAGUCAUUCUGACUGGUGUAAGGCGAUACCUCAUUGUAGAUUUGAUUUGCAUUUCUCUAAUUAUUAGUGAUGUUGAACAACAUGUGGUUUUUGGCUUUCUGUCUGUCUUCUUUGAAGAAAUGUCUAUUUAGAUCUUCUGACCAUUUUCUGAUAGGGUUUUCUUUUUUAAUGUAUAUAAAGCUGUACGAGAUGUUUGUAUAUUUUAGCAAUUAAUCCCUUGUUGGUACAUUCAUUUGCAAAGAUUUUCUCCCAUUCUGCGGCUUGUCUUUUCAUUUUUAAAAUGGUUUUCUUUGCUGUGUAAAAAGCUUUUAAGUUUAAUUAGGUCCAACUUGUUUGUUUUUGUUUUUGUCAUUACUCUUGGAGGUGUAUCAAAAAAGAUAUAGCUGUGAUUUAUGUCAAAGAGUAUUUUGUGUUUUCCUAUAAGCGUUUUAUAGUAUCUGGUCUUAUACUUUGGCCUUUAAUUCAUGUUUUAAUUUAUACUUGUGCAUAUUUUAAUGCCUGGAACCUUUAAUUUCUACCUAUGCUAUUUAAUGUAUAAAAAGGUUUUGUUAAUAUCAAAAUGCAUCCAAAUUAUCCAUAGCUGCCUUACUUCUAUAACCUAUGGCUUUGGUUAACAUAGUCAGACUUACAAAGAGUUGCAGAAUUCUUUUUGGACGGGUAAGGGCAGCAAAUACCCUUUGAGUGACCAUCAUGAGCAAUCCUUGUAGCCUCAGGAACUUAUGAUGCUCUGCUUUGCUUUUCUGAAGAAGCAUCUCCAGUUGCCCACAGACUGUGAAACAGGAGAACCUGCUUAGACCACCCAGGUCUGUCUGGGUAGCCAGUGCACCACAGCUUUCUUGAGAAAGAUUAAUGGAGAAUUAAGAAAAACCUGGCAAUUUUCUAAUUCUUUUAGGCACUGUUUCCAUAUAAGGCUUUCAAGACACAACAUCUUUCCCCUAAAUUCUGACCCCUGUAGAGCGCGUUGGGAUUCUAUAACUGAAAAAAUGGCCAGGAUGCCUGGAGAGUAGAGUCUGAAGGGGAGUGAGUGUUGGGAGCUGGAAGCUCUUUCCCAUUAUGUGGUUCUAUUAGGUCCCAAUGUCAAGAGCACAGAGCCAGUUAAUAGUCAGGGAUGAGCUAUUGGUUGAAAUCAUCAGGGAACUGCCCAGUUACCACGAUGUACCCUGAACAGGUUCCUGAAAACAGUAAGUAGGGUGGAAGUCAGGGAUCAUAACCAUUAACCCACCUCCCAAGAUUCUCAGAAGGAGGGACAAAUUAGGGCAGCAAGAUAAAUAAAACAGUUGUGUGGAUUACAAAGGAUCACUUUAGUACCAUUUGAUUUGUGACAGGAUAAAUUCACAAAUUUUUCAUCAAGCUAGACC
rnacentral:lncRNA from 1 species